rnacentral:rRNA from 1 species
GAGGGAAACCGAGUCUUAACCGGGCGUUAAGUUGCAGGGUAUAGACCCGAAACCCGGUGAUCUAGCCAUGGGCAGGUUGAAGGUUGGGUAACACUAACUGGAGGACCGAACCGACUAAUGUUGAAAAAUUAGCGGAUGACCUGUGGCUGGGGGUGAAAGGCCAAUCAAACCGGGAGAUAGCUGGUUCUCCCCGAAAGCUAUUUAGGUAGCGCCUCGUGAAUUCAUCUCCGGGGGUAGAGCACUGUUUCGGCUAGGGGGCCAUCCCGGCUUACCAACCCGAUGCAAACUGCGAAUACCGGAGAAUGUUAUCACGGGAGACACACGGCGGGUGCUAACGUCCGUCGUGAAGAGGGAAACAACCCAGACCGCCAGCUAAGGUCCCAAAGUCAUGGUUAAGUGGGAAACGAUGUGGGAAGGCCCAGACAGCCAGGAUGUUGGCUUAGAAGCAGCCAUCAUUUAAAGAAAGCGUAAUAGCUCACUGGUCGAGUCGGCCUGCGCGGAAGAUGUAACGGGGCUAAACCAUGCACCGAAGCUGCGGCAGCGACGCUGAUGCGUUGUUGGGUAGGGGAGCGUUCUGUAAGCCUGCGAAGGUGGCCUGUGAGGGUUGCUGGAGGUAUCAGAAGUGCGAAUGCUGACAUAAGUAACGAUAAAGCGGGUGAAAAGCCCGCUCGCCGGAAGACCAAGGGUUCCUGUCCAACGUUAAUCGGGGCAGGGUGAGUCGACCCCUAAGGCGAGGCCGAAAGGCGUAGUCGAUGGGAAACGGGUUAAUAUUCCCGUACUUGGUGUUACUGCGAAGGGGGGACGGAGAAGGCUAUGUUGGCCGGGCGACGGUUGUCCCGGUUUAAGCGUGUAGGUGUGUGUUCCAGGUAAAUCCGGUUCACUUUAACACUGAGGCGUGACGACGAGGCACUACGGUGCUGAAGCAACAAAUGCCCUGCUUCCAGGAAAAGCCUCUAAGCAUCAGGUAACAUCAAAUCGUACCCCAAACCGACACAGGUGGUCAGGUAGAGAAUACCAAGGCGCUUGAGAGAACUCGGGUGAAGGAACUAGGCAAAAUGGUGCCGUAACUUCGGGAGAAGGCACGCUGACAUGUAGGUGAAGUGAUUUACUCAUGGAGCUGAAGUCAGUCGAAGAUACCAGCUGGCUGCAACUGUUUAUUAAAAACACAGCACUGUGCAAACACGAAAGUGGACGUAUACGGUGUGACGCCUGCCCGGUGCCGGAAGGUUAAUUGAUGGGGUCAGCGCAAGCGAAGCUCCUGAUCGAAGCCCCGGUAAACGGCGGCCGUAACUAUAACGGUCCUAAGGUAGCGAAAUUCCUUGUCGGGUAAGUUCCGACCUGCACGAAUGGCGUAAUGAUGGCCAGGCUGUCUCCACCCGAGACUCAGUGAAAUUGAACUCGCUGUGAAGAUGCAGUGUACCCGCGGCAAGACGGAAAGACCCCGUGAACCUUUACUAUAGCUUGACACUGAACAUUGAGCCUUGAUGUGUAGGAUAGGUGGGAGGCUUUGAAGUGUGGACGCCAGUCUGCAUGGAGCCGGCCUUGAAAUACCACCCUUUAAUGUUUGAUGUUCUAACGUGGACCCGU